rnacentral:lncRNA from 1 species
CUCAGCUACUCACACGCUCUACAUAUAGGCAUUGAGCACCACUAUAUCUGAGGCCCCGUCUUCAUGCUGGGACCUGUUGAUGGGGUCGUACAAAGCUCCCAUCCUCAGCACGUUCACAUGAUGACGAUGAAGCACUUCUGGAGCACCCGAUUAAUCUUCCCAGUACUCUUGUGUGUAGGUAAGUAUAAAUUUUUGCUUAUAGUUGAAGAAACGGAAACAUGAGGUGAUUAAACUAUU